AGGACACUACCAGGAGUGGAUCCUGCGGCUCAGUUUGACUCAACACGGGAAAGCUCACCUGGUCCGGACACUGGAAGGAUUGACAGAUUAAGAGCUCUUUCUUGAUUCAGUGGGUGGUGGUGCAUGGCCGUUCUUAGUUGGUGGAGCGAUUUGUCUGGUUAAUUCCGAUAACGAACGAGACUCUAGCCUACUAAAUAGGUGUUCCGAUCCCAUCAGUCGGACGCUCUUCUUAGAGGGACAAGCGGCGUUUAGCCGCACGAGACAGAGCAAUAACAGGUCUGUGAUGCCCUUAGAUGUCCGGGGCCGCACGCGCGCUACACUGAAGGAACCAGCGUGUGUCCCUGUCCGGCAGGACUGGGUAAUCCGUUGAACCUCCUUCGUGAUAGGGAUAGGGGCUUGUAAUUGUUCCCCUUGAACGAGGAAUUCCCAGUAAGCGUGAAUCAUCAGUUCACGUUGAUUACGUCCCUGGCCUUUGUACACACCGCCCGUCGCUACUACUGAUUGGAUGAUUUAGUGAGG
rnacentral:rRNA from 1 species